rnacentral:lncRNA from 1 species
CGAGAUUUCUACUUCAUUUCAGAAAACUCACCCCUGCCAGGAUUGAAAAAUACCAGCCAAUUAGCCAUCCCAACAGCACGAGUGCUUUCAUUUGCCUUCAAAUGGUUGCUGAAUCCCUCGCUUGCACCCAUACUGAGCAAGCAGUUCUCCCUCCUUCCUGAAAAAUGUGUAUGCCUAUCUGAGGAUUUAAUCUGGGGAUUAAAUCUGAAUUUUUUGUGGUUUAAUUUUUCUAAAUAGGCCAAAAUUCAGAUGAAAUUCAAUUGCUCUAAUUAAUAUAUUUGAUUAUUUAUUCAAUAAAAUAAUGGUAAUAGGCACUUUUUGAACAUGUAGGUGUGCAAAGCACUGUUCUAAUUCACCUGCACAUGGCAUUGUUUGAAUUCUCAGAGUAUUUUUGUACUUGGACACUUUUAUUAUUCUCAGUAGACAGACAGUGACACACCGGGCAAGUGAGGUUAAGCAGCAGGCCCAAGACCACAGAGUUAGCAAGAGACGGAGCCCAGAUUCAAAGUGAGUUCUGCUGACUCCCAAGCUUAUGCAUUGAGCAAGACCCUAUCCGUUCUCAGUCUGUGCAUGAUACUUCAUAUAGAGGAAAUGUUCGAAUGCUCACUCCAUUUUUGUGUCCUUUUCUCAUUUCUCCUGGCUCUGUGUUUGGUUGGAGAUCUACCUGGGAAUGUUAUACCCUCACGGAGGUUCUGGAUGGACAGUCGGUUAACAAACAGGUAUUUUAUUUCUGAAGUAAUCCUGCCCAGUUGCUGUCCACCUGGGAAGGGAGGGCCAACAUGUCACAAAAAUGUCUCAGAAAUGCACCGGGAUGUAGGUGGAUGUGUGCACCCAGGCCUGAAAUGUCCAUGCUGUGGAGUUCCAGUCACCAAGGAACACCAAAUUUAGUUCUAGUCCCCAAGGUCACAGAGGAGUGAGAAUGGUAGGUGGCCUUUUCUAACCACCAUCCAGACGCCUGAGUCUCCAUCUUUUUUCCCAACGUGGUGAGCAUCACCUUCAGGUGUGGACCAUCAAGAGGCAGGAGACCUGGGUUCCCAUCCUGGCCUUGCCAUUUCCCAGCGACGUGACCCCUGUACCUAUCCUCCUCCCGGGCCCGUCUCUCUGAGUGUGAGGUGGGAAAACAGAAAGGCAGAUAAACAGUAAGGGAGGAGUCCUGGUGUGACAUAGGAUAUUGGUGAUUUGGGAGAUGUGGAGAGAUUUGAGUUUUCUUUUCCUUCCUGCUCAAGGCACAUUCUGAACAGACUUCCACAGCAGGCAUGAAGGGAGCUAUUUAGAAAGAGAGAUGGGUUACUGGGGUCAAGGGGAGGUUUGGAUGCCAGGUUCUUGGUAGGAUUCUGGGAUGUGAUCGCCGGUAGUAUUAGUAACGGUGACGGUGGUUAUAGUAAUAAUAGCAGUAAUACUUACUAUAAUUCCUGGAUGUCCUUUGCUUUACAAGGAAUUUCUAAUUCUCACAAAUCUUAUAAGGUAGGUAAUUUAUUUUUCCUAUUCACAGAUGAGGGACCUGGCACCUGGGGAAGUAACUUACGCAAGAUUCAGGGCCACAAAGUGGAGCUGCUUGUUUUAGCCUAGACUCUGAUGUAAGCCCAGUUUUGCCCUCAGCGUGUAGAGAGCUCUCUCCUAGCAAAGCCCAAGCCUCCCUUACCCCUGGGACCCGGUGCUGAGCCCCAGCCAGUAGACAGAGACACUCUGGUAAAUUACCCCAUUUCUUCCAUCUCCCAGGGCAGUGGACUCACUGCAGAUUGGGGCAAAUGCUGUUGCUUUGCUUGUCUCUGUAUUUCUGUCUUCAUUCUUCUCUCCACUCUUCUCCCCUCAGACACAGUAGUAGAGAAAGUAGUAGAAAAAUAUUGUAUGCUACUUGAUCUUAACUGAAAGGUUUUCUACAGUCCUACUGUAAUGCUUGUGUGUAGAGGGGGAGGGAGGGGAAGAGGGUGCAUUCUGAAUUGCGUCCCUCGCA